rnacentral:rRNA from 1 species
GACGAACGCUGGCGGCGUGCCUAAUACAUGCAAGUCGAGCGCAGGAAGUCAUCCGAACCCUUCGGGGGGACGUUGACGGAAUGAGCGGCGGACGGGUGAGUAACACGUAAAGAACCUGCCCUCAGGUCUGGGAUAACCACGAGAAAUCGGGGCUAAUACCGGAUGGGUCAUCGGACCGCAUGGUCCGAGGAUGAAAGGCGCUCCGGCGUCGCCUGGGGAUGGCUUUGCGGUGCAUUAGCUAGUUGGUGGGGUAAUGGCCCACCAAGGCGACGAUGCAUAGCCGACCUGAGAGGGUGAUCGGCCACGCUGGGACUGAGACACGGCCCAGACUCCUACGGGAGGCAGCAGUAGGGAAUCUUCCACAAUGGACGAAAGUCUGAUGGAGCAACGCCGCGUGAACGAUGAAGGCCCUCGGGUCGUAAAGUUCUGUUGUAAGGGAAGAACAAGUGCCGCAGGCAAUGGCGGCACCUUGACGGUACCUGGCGAGAAAGCCACGGCUAACUACGUG